rnacentral:lncRNA from 1 species
GAAAAGAGAUAAACUCGAUGAUUGUUAAAGACGUAACGAGUGGCAUAUAACUUAGUAUAAAUGACACUAGCGGCAUGUGAACUUAGGGAUAGGUGGAUUCCCUAGUAAAUGACUCGUUGGACAAGAACAUAAUGUAGCCAAACAUUCGUAUUUGGACUUUGGGAUAGGUGGAUUCCCGAGUGACUUGUAGCCCUAGCCAGUAGGGUAUCCUCGAGUUGAGAGGAUUGAUCAUACUCACAGUCUGUUCAUACUUGUGGUGGUCGCACCACCCAGGUCUUCGUGCACUCCGGAGUUUUGGCAAAGUUGAUGCCCUGUAGGCGGCAUCGGGUUUGAGAGCGAGGUGAGUCUCCUUACCAUACGAGGUUUGAGGUGAGUCGUGGACGAACCCGAGUGGAUCGCCAAGGAUUGAUUGAACAUGAGAAUGACAUCGUUACUUGAACAUUUGCUUAUUGAACAUGGAUAGUGGACAUAGUGGCAUGUUAGUAAACCAUUUACUAUAUGAUGCAUGCAUAUAUGACA